rnacentral:rRNA from 1 species
CCUACAUGAAGUUGGAAUUGCUAGUAAUGGCAGGUCAGCAUACUGCCGUGAAUACGUUCCCGGGCCUUGUACACACCGCCCGUCACACCAUGAGAGUUGGAGAUACCCGAAGCCUGUGAGCUAACUUUUUAAGAGGCAGCAGUCGAAGGUAGAAUCAAUGAUUGGGGUGAAGUCGUAACAAGGUAGC